rnacentral:rRNA from 1 species
GACGAACGCUGGCGGCGUGCUUAACACAUGCAAGUCGAACGAAGUGGCGAACGGGUGAGUAACGCGUAAUCAACCUGCCCUUCAGAGGGGGACAACAGUUGGAAACGACUGCUAAUACCGCAUAUAGGAUGAGACCAAGUGGGAUUAGGUAGUUGGUGAGGUAAAGGCUCACCAAGCCGACGAUCUCUAGCUGGUCUGAGAGGAUGACCAGCCACAUUGGGACUGGGACACGGCCCAGACUCCUACGGGAGGCAGCAGUGGGGAAUCUUCCGCAAUGGACGAAAGUCUGACGGAGCAACGCCGCGUGAGUGAUGACGGCCUUCGGGUUGUAAAGCUCUGUUAAUCGGGACGCGGUACCGGAAUAGAAAGCCACGGCUAACUACGUGCCAGCCGCCGCGGUAAUAC